rnacentral:rRNA from 1 species
UACGAAGGGGGCUAGCGUUGUUCGGAAUUACUGGGCGUAAAGCGCGCGCAGGCGGCUAUCCAAGUCAGUGGUGAAAGCCCGGAGCUCAACUCCGGAACUGCCAUUGAAACUGUUUAGCUUGAGGAUGAGAGAGGUGAGUGGAAUUCCCAGUGUAGAGGUGAAAUUCGUAGAUAUUCGGAAGAACACCAGUGGCGAAGGCGACUUACUGGACACAUAUUGACGCUGAGGUGCGAAAGCGUGGGGAGCAAACAGG